UCUAACAAAUGCUGAGAUUACAGAUAUGUGUGGAUGCCUGGCCUUUAAAAAGUGAUUUAAAAAAAAAGAGUAUUUCAUUUCAUGAGCAACUAUAAUUUAUUAAACUUAUCCCUCUGUUUAAAAAAAUAUUUUAUUAAUUCUUUGAGAGUUCUAUACAAUACAACGUAUUUUGAUCAUUUCACCCCGACUCCUUCCAGACCUGUCUCUCACACCCUGCCUUCCCUACUUUAUGUUCCUCUAGCCUUUGUACAAUAUUUAUGAAGAUGUUUUAUUAUAAAUGACACUAAAACCUCUAUAUGUUUUUACAAGCAUCUAAUCGUUCUUGAAAGAUAGAUUCACAGAAACCGAACCAGUGGGUUGAAAGAGCUGAGCAAGGAGCCCGUGCCGCUAGAUUACAGAGGAAGGUGAAGGGAGACCUCGUAACUGUAUGCUGUGUGCCUGUUUGGAACACUAAAUCUGAAGAAAAAUGAAGAGAUAACCCAAAAUAUUAGCAUCGCUGACCCUGAGGUUGGGUCAUUCCGGUGACCUAGACGUUUUCUUCUGCACAGUUCUGUAACUUGUGCUUUCUAAAUACUGUGGGUAUUGCAAUAUUUUGUUUGCUUGUUUUUUGUUUUUUUCUUGAGACAUCUUUUCUGAUAUCCCAAGCAGGCUGGCCUCCAACUCACUACAUAGUGGAGGCUGAAAUUUCACCUCACAAAUGCUGACAUUAAAAGGCAUGUGCCAUAUUUGGUACAAACAGAAAAGUCUGUCA
rnacentral:lncRNA from 1 species